GCCGCGGGUCUGGUCUGUGAUAGCGGAGGCGCGGUGCUGCGCGUGCCCUCAGGUGGGGCUGAACAGGCAGUGGAGGCCAAGCAGCAUGAACCUCACAUUCAUUUUCUGCAUGGAUUGACCAAGUGGGUUGGUCACUGUGAGUCUCCAGGUUGCACCCAAGAAGAGCCCAAUACAGGGACAUACAUGGAGGAAGUUUAGAAGUUUGUUCUUUGAGGAGCAGGAUGGGUAAGUACACACUGACAAAGCAGCAGUAGGAUUGGCACGCUGCCAUACCACUAUUUCUGUGUUCCCCAGUAGUGGGAGCAGGUUCUAGUCACAACAUGAAAGGGGAAGGUGAGAAAGAUGUGGGGUAAGAAUACGAAAUGCCAGAACUGUGGGAAGGUGCAGGUAUUAUAUGCAGAGUGGUAUAGUAUUAAAGGAAGCAUGCAUGAAAUUAAAGUGGAAAAAAAGAGGUGUGUCUAAGAAAAGCUGCUGAAAGCAUUUUGUAGCAUGCUGUGAAGAGAGGACUGCAUCUUGUGAGCUUAGCUUUCCUUCCAGAAUAACAUCAUUCUGUGCAUGUUCUUCAUCUGAACUCUUUUCUUGCUAUUGCUGUUCUGUUUAAACAGAGACACUGAAGGUUUGCAAAGUAUAAGCUUAGCCUAUUCUCUCAUCUGUGCGCGUAUUUUUAAGCUUUAGUACGCACUAAACAUGAUUUAUCUGCAUUUAUCUGACCUGUUAACAAUAUGAGAAUUAAGAGUCUGAAGUUGAUGGUUCUGGGACAUAUAUGACUUCCUUUAAGACUAUAUCCUGAAGCAUGGAAUCAGACUCUACAACUCAGAGUUACAAAGCAGGUAUGUUUAUUACGGCGCCAGGUGCAAGGAGGAUCGCUCCUCCUAACUUGCACACUGAGGAGUUAAGCAAGCAGAUAUUUAUUACACACAAACAUGCAUAUUCAUUAGGUUCUGAGAGAGCAGUGGGGAUAUGACAAUUAGUUUAGGUACUCGUUAUUAUAAGUCUCUUCCCUUUUGGUGUUUGCGCACUGCCCUCUGAUGAUUGUGCACAGGGGUCUUCAAGAUGAAGUAAGCAAUCUUCCUCGUGGUGCACUUUCCACCUUUGGCACAGUUGGAUGCUCCAGGAAUCACAAAACCAGCUGGAACCAGCCAUAUGUGUAAGUUUCUGAUAGCUGGCAAAGAUUUAGGACAAUGUGACCUUCGUACAAAAUUUAUUGCAAGCAAAACAGGAUGGGCAGACAAGCAGUAUCCUAAGCUAGCAGAUAUUUGGGAGUCGCUGUCUCCAAAGUAACUGAUAAUUAGAAGUAUGGUAAGAAAUAAUUCACUCAUUAGAAGGAU